GGUCUGUGACCCAAGUGUGAAAGAGUGGGCAGUCCUGGAAGGAGCGUCUGCUGUGAUUGGUAGACAUGAAAUUUAGGGGAGGUGACACAAGAGAAAAAGAUCUUUAAAUAGAAGACUACAGCAGCCAGUUGAUAUAGAUCCUCUGACUUGGACUGGAGGAGAGUUACUUGGAGCUGGAGGGAAGACAGACACAUGAGGAGAGACUGGAAGACAGAUGCUUGAACUUGGCUGUGGAACUGGACCCUGGGGGAACUUGUGCAGGAGACCUCAGACUGCUUUCCUUUAGACGGUCACUCAGGCUAACCACAGCAAAUGCCCUCUGAUUUCUUUCUUGAAGGAAGAUUUCACGAUAGGCUGGAAUGAGACUUCGGAGUAAUCUACAAGCCUUUGGCCUCUUCCGUUUCUUAAAUCUGAGAUGCAGGCCCUAAGGGUACAGGUUCGACGAGUUUACUUUCAGCCAUAAGUGACUAAGGCGCUGGUAUUGUGAGAUGAGGAAGAGUUUUCUGAUUGACCAAAGUAUGAAAAGGGUUGAUGAUUUGAGUUGGCAAUUUGGCUGCUGUGGGAAGCCAAGGAAAAUCCCUUCAGCCAACCUGAGGCUCUGCAGCUUUUUCAGGAGUCAGGACUGAUAGCUGAGACAGCGAGGGUGAUGAGUAAGAGUGCAUAAAGCUGAGGUAACUGUUCUCCUUGGAAUUACUCUUCUAGCUGCAAUAGCCUCCUCUUUUUGUCUAUUAUUGAUGGUUGCGUAGAUGGAGAGAAAAUAUUUCAUUUGUGUCUGUACUUUACCAGGUGAUGCA
rnacentral:lncRNA from 1 species